rnacentral:rRNA from 1 species
GACGAACGCUGGCGGCGUGCUUAACACAUGCAAGUCGAACGGAAAGGCCCUGCUUUUGUGGGGUGCUCGAGUGGCGAACGGGUGAGUAACACGUGAGUAACCUGCCCUUGACUUUGGGAUAACUUCAGGAAACUGGGGCUAAUACCGGAUAGGAGCUCCUGCUGCAUGGUGGGGGUUGGAAAGUUUCGGCGGUUGGGGAUGGACUCGCGGCUUAUCAGCUUGUUGGUGGGGUAGUGGCUUACCAAGGCUUUGACGGGUAGCCGGCCUGAGAGGGUGACCGGCGACAUUGGGACUGAGGUACGGCCCAGACUCGUACGGGAGGCAGCAGUGGGGAAUAUUGCACAAUGGGCGGAAGCCUGAUGCAGCAACGCCGCGUGCGGGAUGACGGCCUUCGGGUUGUAAACCGCUUUCGCCUGUGACGAAGCGUGAGUGACGGUAAUGGGUAAAGAAGCACCGGCUAACUACGUG